CAAUAGCGUAUAUUAAAGUUGUUGCAGUUAAAAAGCUCGUAGUUGGAUUUCUGUGAGAGUGCCGGUGUCGGCUGAUGCUUGUACGCAGGCGCUCUUACAUCCUUCUGUUAACUGUUCUUAGCAUUUUAUUGCUGGUUCAGGGCUCAGAUAUUUUACCUUGAGAAAAUUAGAGUGUUUCAGGCAGGCUUAUGCCGGAAUACAUUAGCAUGGAAUAAUGGAACAGGACCUGUGCGUCUCUCGGGGCGCCGGUCUCCGUUGUUGGUUUCGGGGACUAAUGUAAUGAUUAAUAGGGAUAGUUGGGGGCAUUAGUAUUUAAUAGUCAGAGGUGAAAUUCUCGGAUUUGUUAAAGACUAACUUAUGCGAAAGCAUUUGCCAAGGAUGUUUNCAUUAA
rnacentral:rRNA from 1 species